CCUACGGGGGGCAGCAGUGGGGAAUAUUGGACAAUGGGCGAAAGCCUGAUCCAGCCAUGCCGCGUGUGUGAAGAAGGCCUUCGGGUUGUAAAGCACUUUCAGUGGGGAAGAAAGCCUUGGGGCUAAUACCCUCUAGGAAGGACAUCACCCACAGAAAAAGCACCGGCUAACUCCGUGCCAGCAGCCGCGGUAAUACGGAGGGUGCGAGCGUUAAUCGGAAUUACUGGGCGUAAAGCGCGCGUAGGCGGUCUGAUAAGCCGGUUGUGAAAGCCCCGGGCUCAACCUGGGAACGGCAUCCGGAACUGUCAGGCUAGAGUGCAGGAGAGGAAGGUAGAAUUCCCGGUGUAGCGGUGAAAUGCGUAGAGAUCGGGAGGAAUACCAGUGGCGAAGGCGGCCUUCUGGACUGACACUGACGCUGAGGUGCGAAAGCGUGGGUAGCAAACAGGAUUAGAUACCCCUGUAGUC
rnacentral:rRNA from 1 species